rnacentral:rRNA from 1 species
UGAUGCGAUCAUACCAGCACUAAAGCACCGGAUCCCAUCAGAACUCCGAAGUUAAGCGUGCUUGGGUGAGAGUAGUACUAGGAUGGGUGACCUCCUGGGAAGUCCUCGUGUUGCAUUCC